UACGGAGGAUGCAAGCGUUAUCCGGAAUGAUUGGGCGUAAAGCGUCCGCAGGUGGCUAUGUAAGUCUGCUGUUAAAGAGUGAGGCUCAACCUCAUAAGAGCAGUGGAAAUUACAUAGCUAGAGUGCGUUCGGGGCAGAGGGAAUUCCUGGUGUAGCGGUGAAAUGCGUAGAUAUCAGGAAGAACACCGGUGGCGAAAGCGGCACUCUGGGCCGGAACUGACGCUGAGGAGCGAAAGCGUGGGGAGCAAACAGG
rnacentral:rRNA from 1 species